rnacentral:lncRNA from 1 species
GAGUGGACGACUUCAAAGCUAGCUCUCACAGACUCACCUGGAAAAGAGUUCAGCUGCGCGUUCAUUGAACCGAGAGGCCAGAUCACCUAUGUGAGGCGGUGGGAACCAUAUGGAGAUUUAUAUUAGAACUUCAGCAAAGUGCACAGCUGCAGCCGGCAGAAGCCAGCUCUCGGGCUGACAGGCAAAUGAACCAGAUCGUGGACGGGGCCUCUGGGUGGCAGCUCCGGCCUUUUGGUUGUUGGACAACUAUAGUCAGAACUGAAAUGGAACAGGGGCAGGAGAAAUAACACACUUUUACUCCACGCAACUGUUGCUUUCACAUGAUCUUCAGGAAUGUAACUGGGAUAAUUGUCCAAAUUGAAUCCCAUACCCUGUCAUGCAUACCAGAAUAGGAGUCCUGUCUUAACUGAGCAAUAUACACUAUGGAGAGAUCCUUCAAAACCCGUCGGGACGAAUAACAGAUGAAUUCAUAAAACUGUUCAUCUCUGUUAUCCUGAAUGGUCACUCAGACAACAUUUUACUCAACUAUAAAGGGGAACACUUAAAGUGCAUAUGAGAAGAGAAGAGAAUGACCACAGGAGAAAAUCAUCUCAGCUUUCUCCACCCAGGGCAAAGGCAACAACAACAAACGUCCUAUACUCAAGCCGACUGACCUCAUCUCGUUCCACCCCACCUCAUCCAAUCAGAAAUCUCACACGCUCCAGGCAAGAGCUCAAGUCAGUCACCGAUAGGCUGACAGAUCCGGAUCACGAGCAAUACGCAUGCUUUUUUACUGCGCAUGCUCAGGCAAGGCAGUAAACAUGGAGAAGCAUAUUGUGUGAUGUUCUAUAUUUAUGAGACCCAUAGCAAACUGUGAAGAGAUAACAGAAUGCUUUUUGCGUGAGCUGAAACAGUAGAUGAAAUCUUUCAUUAAAAUUACUCAUACUUUGGGUCCUAUUCUUAUUUAUAAAUAAAUAUUAUUGCAAACAUU